AGACGUAGGGGGCAAGCGUUGUCCGGAAUUACUGGGUGUAAAGGGUGCGUAGGCGGAUUUGCAAGUCAGGUGUGAAAACUAUCGGCUUAACCGGUAGCCUGCACUUGAAACUGUAAGUCUUGAGUGGUGAAGAGGUAAGCGGAAUUCCUAGUGUAGCGGUGAAAUGCGUAGAUAUUCGGAGGAACACCAGUGGCGAAGGCGGCUUACUGGUCCAUUACUGACGCUGAGGUGCGAAAGCGUGGGGAGC
rnacentral:rRNA from 1 species